AGGACACGCUGGCGGCGUGGAUUAGGCAUGCAAGUCGAACGGUAUCAUCCUUUCGGGGGUGAGAGAGUGGCGAACUGGUGAGUAACACGUAGGUUAUCUACCCUCAAGACGGGACAACCCAGGGAAACUUGGGCUAAUACCGGAUGUGAGCAACUUUUAGUUGUUUGAAAGGUGGCGUAAGCUGUCGCUUGGGGAUGAGCCUGCGUCCUAUUAGUUAGUUGGUGAGGUAACGGCUCACCUAGGCAAUGAUAGGUAGGCGGCCUUAACGGGUGGUCGCCCACACUGGGAUUGAGAUACGGCCCAGACUCCUACGGGAGGCAGCAGUCGAGAAUAGUCUACAAUGGUCGGAAGACUGAUAGUGCGACGCCGCGUGAACGAUGAAUCCCUUCGGGGUGUAAAGUUCUUUUAUAUGUGAGCAGUGCUUCUUAUAUUAACAGUAUGGGGAGAGAGAUAUUAGCAUAUGAAUAAGCAACGGCUAACUCCGUG
rnacentral:rRNA from 1 species